UACCAGCACCCCGAGUGGUCGGGACGUUUAUUGGGCCUAAAGCAUCCGUAGCCGGCUCUACGAGUCUUCCGUUAAAUCCAACUGCUUAACAGGUGGGCUGCGGAAGAUACUAUAGAGCUAGGAGGCGGGAGAGGCAAGCGGUACUCGAUGGGUAGGGGUAAAAUCCGUUGAUCCAUUGAAGACCACCAGUGGCGAAGGCGGCUUGCCAGAACGCGCUCGACGGUGAGGGAUGAAAGCUGGGGGAGCAAACCGG
rnacentral:rRNA from 1 species